rnacentral:rRNA from 1 species
AGUGAACGCUGGCGGUAGGCCUAACACAUGCAAGUCGAACGGCAGCACAGUAAGAGCUUGCUCUUACGGGUGGCGAGUGGCGGACGGGUGAGGAAUACAUCGGAAUCUACUUUUUCGUGGGGGAUAACGUAGGGAAACUUACGCUAAUACCGCAUACGACCUACGGGUGAAAGCAGGGGAUCUUCGGACCUUGCGCGAUUGAAUGAGCCGAUGUCGGAUUAGCUAGUUGGCGGGGUAAAGGCCCACCAAGGCGACGAUCCGUAGCUGGUCUGAGAGGAUGAUCAGCCACACUGGAACUGAGACACGGUCCAGACUCCUACGGGAGGCAGCAGUGGGGAAUAUUGGACAAUGGGCGCAAGCCUGAUCCAGCCGUACCGCGUGGGUGAAGAGGGCCUUCGGGUUGUAAAGCCCUUUUGUUGGGAAAGAAAAGCAGCAGGUUAAUACCCCGCUGUUCUGACGGUACCCAAAGAAUAAGCACCGGCUAACUUCGUG